AGGCAGGAAACUUUAUUACAGACGGAAUAGUCAACAUACUCUGCAAGCUUCGCCUACUACGGAGACCAGCACCUCAGCCAGCGUCCCGCUAGCCGGGUAAGGGGACAGCCAAAGCGCCUAGCGCUAGCCGGCCACCUGUCUCAUCAAUCCUGCUUGCAAGUGUCUGCUCAUUAGACAACAAACUGGACAACAUUCAACUUCAACGAAACUCCCAACAUGAGUUCAGGGACAGCGGUGUUUUUGUGGAAAGAUGGAUGAACAACAGUGUGCCGGACUAACCAGCUACCAGGCCUGCUAGCCUUCCGAGCAGAUGCUGCUCUGUUGCCGGGUAAGACUAGUGGAGCUGGGUUGUGUUUACACGGACAGGUGCAGAAAUGGGGAGCUUGUAUCCAACUAACUGCUCACCGCUGGUGGAGAUUGUGACUGUUAAAUGCCGCCCAUUCUACAUUCCACGCAAAUACACGGCUGU